rnacentral:rRNA from 1 species
UACGGGGGGGGGCAAGCGUUGUUCGGAAUUACUGGGCGUAAAGGGCUCGUAGGUGGCCAACUAAGUCAGACGUGAAAUCCCCAGGCUCAACUUGGGAACUGCGUCUGAUACUGGAUGGCUUGAAUUCGGGAGAGGGAUGCAGAAUUCCAGGUGUAGCGGUGAAAUGCGUAGAUAUCUGGAGGAACACCGGUGGCGAAAGCGACUCACUGGACCGACACUGACGCUGAGGUGCGAAAGCUAGGGUAGCAAACGGG